rnacentral:lncRNA from 1 species
GCAAGACUGUUGGAAUGAGCUUGGGAGCUUCGCUCACCCCACCCUGGGUGCCUGUUACCAGAAAUUGCAUGACCCUCUUAUAUGUUUCUUCCCACACAGAAACAUGAUGCUGACAAUGACCCUCAUCUUACGGAUGAAACCAAGAAAAGCAAGAAAGCCAGCAAAACCAGGGAGAGCCCUAAAGAGGCAGAGGUGAGUGGAGGGUGUGAAGUUCCCUCCUGUCCUCUGGAGAGUGUUGCUUUCCUUUUCUUUUAGCGCUUGCUUGGCUUUUCUCCCAAAGGUUCAAAUCCAGAGAACCAACAUACUGAUGUCUGAGAAAGGAAAAUUAAAUACUGAACUCUAUCAUAUGCAAUGUGCUGCCAGGAACUUUGAAGGUGGGAAUCUGGGCACCCCGUCAUCCUUCAACCUGGUGCUUUGACAGGCCUUUUGGGGGAGUCCUUUGGGCCCCAUCUCAACCUCUCUCAUUUCAGGAGAGUCCACGGAUCUGGCCAGCCACCUGCAGUAUUCCCAGCAGCGUGUGGGAGAGUUGGAUUGGACUCUUUGCUGUCUCGACGCAGCAGAAGAACAUGGACAGGUAUAACAAGGAGGUAACCAAAGACAGAGAUGCCCUCAGGCUGAAGUUAUACAAGAACAGCCAAAACAAUGAGGACCUGAAGCAGAAGAACUCAGAACAAGAAGAGAAGCUUCAAGUCCUAGUGACUGCGAAGUCAGGGAUUUAACUCAACUUGAAGGAGCUGCACAGGAAGCUGGAGAGGACUGAGCUCCUGCUUCAGGCAAGAGGCUGCAGCCCCAGGGGUGGUGGGAGCCCCAUCCAGCUGAGGACAUGGUCUAGGGAUCAUGCAGGGUAUGGGGAGGCUCCAGCCAAGAGCUGGAAAAUUUGGGUCCUUGUUCUGGUCCUGCCAUAGAAUCCUCUAGAGACUGCUAAAAAUCUACAAACUGGGGCCCUGCCGUAGACCUGGGGAAUCAGAAUCUCAGGGUUAGGGCUUACAUUUUUUAAAAAAUUGCAUCAUGGAUGAAAACCAUUAUUUUAUAGAUUACACUUAUAUGGCUAGCUCAUGAGUCUGUUUAUUUCCUUCUGAGGUUCAAGCCAACACUUCAACUAUUC